AUAUUUUCCUGGCAGGGGAGAUACCAUGAUCACGAAUGUGGUUUUCCCAGGGCAAGGCUUAUCCAUUGCACUCAGGAUGUGCUAAUCCCUGAGAUUUCCCCAAAUGUGGGAAACUCAACUGCAUAAUUUGUGGUGUUGGGGAACUGAGUUUGUGCUCUCCCCUG